rnacentral:rRNA from 1 species
GACGAACGCUGGCGGCGUGCUUAACACAUGCAAGUCGAACGGAAAGGCCCUGCUUUUGUGGGGUGCUCGAGUGGCGAACGGGCGAGUAACACGUGAGUAACCUGCCCUUGACUUUGGGAUAACUUCAGGAAACUGGGGCUAAUACCGGAUAGGAGCUCCUGCUGCAUGGUGGGGGUUGGAAAGUUUCGGCGGUUGGGGAUGGACUCGCGGCUUAUCAGCUUGUUGGUGGGGUAGUGGCUUACCAAGGCUUUGACGGGUAGCCGGCCUGAGAGGGUGACCGGCCACAUUGGGACUGGGGUACGGCCCAGACUCCUACGGGAGGGAGCAGUGGGGAAUUUUGCACAAUGGGCGGAAGCCUUAUGCAGCAACGCCGGGGGCGGGAAGACGGCCUUUGGGGUGGAAACCGCUUUCGCCUGUGAAGAAGCGGGAGUGACGGUAAUGGGUAAAGAAGCACCGGCUAACUACGUG